rnacentral:rRNA from 1 species
CGCUAAGACUGGAUAGGAAGAUAAAAGGCAUCUUUUAUCUUUUAAAAGACCUAGUAAUAGGUAUGCUUUAGGAGGGGCUUGCGCCAUAUUAGUUAGUUGGUAGGGUAAUGGCCUACCAAGACGAUGAUGUGUAGCUGGACUGAGAGGUUGAACAGCCACAUUGGGACUGAGACACGGCCCAAACUCCUACGGGAGGCAGCAGUAGGGAAUUUUCGGCAAUGGAGGAAACUCUGACCGAGCAACGCCGCGUGAAUGACGAAGUACUUCGGUAUGUAAAGUUCUUUUAUCAAGGAAGAAAAGCAAAUGGCGAACCAUUUGUUUGCCGGUACUUGAUGAAUAAGCCCCGGCUAAUUAUGUGCCAGCAGCCGCGGUAAGACAUAAGGGGCAAGUGUUAUCCGGAAUUAUUGGGCGUAAAGGGUGCGUAGGCGGUCUAGUAAGUCAGUGGUGUAAUGGCAACGCUUAACGUUGUCCGGCUAUUGAAACUGCUAAACUUGAGUUAGAUAGAGGCGAGUGGAAUUCCAUGUGUAGCGGUAAAAUGCGUAAAUAUAUGGAGGAACACCAGAGGCGUAGGCGGCUCGCUGGGUCUUAACUGACGCUGAGGCACGAAAGCGUGGGGAGCAAACAGGAUUAGAUACCCUGGUAGUCCACGCCGUAAACGAUGAGUACUAAGUGUCGGGUUAAACCGGUACUGAAGUUAACACAUUAAGUACUCCGCCUGAGUAGUACGUACGCAAGUAUGAAACUUAAAGGAAUUGACGGGACUCCGCACAAGCGGUGGAUCAUGUUGUUUAAUUCGAAGAUACCCGAAAAACCUUACCAGGUCUUGACAUGUUUUUGCAAAAUGAUAGUAAUAUCGUGGAGGUUACCAGAAACACAGGUGGUGCAUGGUUGUCGUCAGCUCGUGUCGUGAGAUGUUAGGUUAAGUCCUAAAACGAGCGAAACCCUUAUCGUUAGUUGCCAGCACGUUAUGGUGGGGACUUUAACGAGACUGCCAAUGAUAAAUUGGAGGAAGGUGAGGAUCACGUCAAAUCAGCAUGCCCCUUAUGACCUGGGCUACAAACGUGAUACAAUGGCUGUUACAAAGGGUAGCUGAAACGCAAGUUCUUGGCCAAUCCCCAAAAACAGUCCCAGUCCGGAUUGAAGUCUGCAACUCGACUUCAUGAAGUUGGAAUCGCUAGUAAUCGCGAAUCAGCAUGUCGGCGUGAAUACGUUCUCGGGGUUUGUACACACCGCCCGUCAAACCACGAAAGUUGGCAAUACCCCAAACGGUAGCCUAACUCGUUUAUUCGAGAGGGCGCCGUCUAAGGUA